AAUUCCUUAUCUGGAAUCUCUAUUCGCGGAUCAGUUUUUAGAGUCAAACUGUUUUGAAAAGGAUUUCCAAAGGUUACUUGGCACACCCGAUUUAUGUCAAGUGGCGAUUCUGAAUAAAAAAUGUAAAUAAUCCUUUUUCAAAGUACUUUAAUAAUAAAAAUCUUUUGAAACUUAAGUUUUUAUUUUUUUUUUGGUUAAAAGGGGAUAUGACAAGCAUGAAGAGUUUGGUCAGAUUGCUAGAAGGGCAUUCAAAAUUCUCACAAAUGCCAGUCAAUUCAACCUUAAGAAUUCUUCAACUCAUCAUCUCCAGAUCUAGUAUGUGUAGAAAGACUCGACUAUCAUAGCUCCUCAGUUUGCUACAAAAUCCUUGUUUGCCGAGAAAUGCACUUUUGACUAGGCAAGAUAACGAUUCUCUGAGUGUCAUUUCAGAUUGCUUCAGGGUUUAGUUAUUUGGAUAGUCAACCAACUCUACCCUUAUUUCCUCAACAGAAUAAGCAAUAGGUUAAUACCACUGCAACAGGAUCUAUGUGUAAGGUGGAUGUCUUCCAAUGAACUCAGUUGUAUCUGUGUCUGCCAUGGUAGUAUCUACAUCCAAAGGCUCAUGAUAGAUGGCAUUGGUUAAUUGAUCCUCUCUGUCUGUUCAGAGGCUCAACCUAUUGGUCCGGCUAAUCAGUAGAGUAUCCAGAGAGAAAUGAUCCGUGCAGGGGUGAGCCUUCUUUGUUCCAGAAGGCCUGUUAUUUCAGAUUAUGUUAUUUCUUUGUUUUGGUCUACUGGGGCCCUUAUUCCAGUUUUCAGAACAGUUGUGAGAUGUAGUAGAGAUUUCGCAGACUAAGUCAGAUCUUAUUCAGAUGUUUUGAAUUGCAGCUUUCAUUCUUUAUGUCUUGAAUCUCAGGGUUAAUGACUAUGUUUCCGUAUCAGAUUGUA